rnacentral:rRNA from 1 species
GACGAACGCUGGCGGCGUGCCUAACACAUGCAAGUCGAACGGACGAGGUUCCUUCGGGGACCGAGUUAGUGGCGAACGGGUGAGUAACGCGUGAGCAACCUGCCUUUCAGAGGGGGACAACAGUUGGAAACGACUGCUAAUACCGCAUAACGUGUUUUGGAGGCAUCUUCGAAACACCAAAGAUUUUAUCGCUGAAAGAUGGGCUCGCGUCUGAUUAGAUAGUUGGUAGGGUAACGGCCUACCAAGUCGACGAUCAGUAGCCGGACUGAGAGGUUGAACGGCCACAUUGGGACUGAGAUACGGCCCAGACUCCUACGGGAGGCAGCAGUGGGGAAUAUUGGGCAAUGGGGGAAACCCUGACCCAGCAACGCCGCGUGAAGGAAGAAGGCCUGGUUGUAAACUUACUUUACCUAGGACGAAGGACGUGACGGUACCU